rnacentral:lncRNA from 1 species
UGAGAGUGAACAAGAAGAACAACAAAAUUCAUUCUGCAUUUGUAUUUUUUUCUACUUUUCUCCUCAAAAACAAUGAACUCUGUCCUGCAUAGGGAUGAUGACAUACAUUCGUAUGCUUUUGUGAUUGCAUUAUCCCAAAUAUCGUUGCCAAACAUGUAUGAAAUUGGUUUAACAUCAGUCUAGCUGCCGAGUUCAGACUACACAUUUCUCCAAGUUAUCAGUCGCCAGUCACUAGAGCUUCAAAACAAGGGAACACACAGACGUCCGAAUGAAUAAAAGCAACCUACAAAGAAUCCAGUAGAUGUUCAAAAUGAAAGCAAAGCAUGGCAAUACUAUCCGCAAAUUGAAUAACAUAGCUACAUCAAUCUUUAUUGCAGAUAAAAAAAAAUUAUCAAUAUCUGACAUGUAAAAACAAAGAUAACACGUUUCUGAAUUCACCUUUUUAACAGUACAUGUUCGAAUCUGUACAUAUUUAGGGUAGUAGAAGAAGCCGCAAGGAACUUGGAAAAUGGAAAAACAUUGACGGAGAGGCAGGUAAAGAGAAAGAAAGAGGGAAGAAGAGUCAAUUGAUAAGAUGACAAAGAGGAGAUGAAUUGAUGAGAGGGAGAAGGAAGACGGGAAAUCAGUCUUCCGUAAAAGAACGAGGUUAAAAGGCGGUGAGCCGGUGACACGGCGGAGCAUAUAGCCCAACUUUCUUUUUCCGGCGGAAACGAGGAAGAAAGAAUUGGGGUUAUUUUGGAAAUAGACCCUGAUGAAACACUCUUUAUGAAUUAGAGUGUUUAACAAAAACCCAAAUUUUUUGACAAACAAACCCAAAUUUUUGGUUUCCAAAAUUCAGUGGAAAAUAAUUAAAUCUAAUUCACAUUUUUAAGUGUAUCAUAAGGAUAUUUAACCGAAAACUUGAGUUACCUGAAUCUUUUUUGAGUAUAUUGAGAUAAAAUUUCUAAUAUUUGUGUGCUCGAAAAUAAUCGUAAAAUUUAAAGAGUUUUUAAAAUUGUCUCCAAAUUUUUUUAAAUAAUUUAAGGGGUCUUAUUCAACCUUGUGUUUUAAUGGAUUUGAGUGUAUCUAAAAAUAUUUUAAAAACACAAUAAAAUCUGUUGUUGUUGGAUUAAACAUUUGUUUGAUGUAUUUUAAAGUAUUUGUAAAAUAACCAUUAUUCAAUUUCCAAUGGAAUUUGUUUCAUUGAAGAUUUUAUUGUAUUUUACAUCUAAAACACGAACAAACACAAUCCUAACAAUUUUUUGAAGUAUUUAAGGGGUGUUAUUGAUUUUUAAAUCCACAUAUAAUUUGUAAAUCCUUAUUAUUUAUGAAAUCAGAAUAAAAAUAUAAGCUCUCUCUGUGUCUUUGAAUCCAGUAAUGAAGCAAUCGAACUUCAGAAUCUCAUAAAGGAAUCACAAUUCACAUUGUUUAUUUAGUAGACAAGAUUCGUAAAGUUUAACACUAGAUUCAUCCUUUAAUUAUUUUCAUUAAAUAAUGUGACUCGACUUAAGAAAGACCAACCCGACUUAGAAAAACUAGUCUUUCAUUGUUUUUUAAUAAUAAGUCAUAACUACGGUUAUAACUCCAAAAACAAAUGAAAAGAAAAGACGAGUUGCUGAAGUCGUCUCUCUCUCCCGAGCGAACUUCUGGUCAAGAAAGAAAAGAGAAAGAACAUAUGGCAAUGGCUUCCUGAAAAGUGAAAACAUUCCACAAACCCCAUAUUUCUCAAGUAACUCUGAGAAAGGAGAAAAACUUCUCAAUAACCAAAAGAGAGAAGCUUAACUUUUCUCCUACAAGCGAGAGCAAAAAUGGUGGAUGUGAUACCAAAAGAGAUCAAACAUGCGUGGGGCAGAUGGAACAUAAGCGGAUCAAUCAUUUUAAGUCUUAUCCUUCAAGCCAUUCUCCUUUGCUUCUCUCCUUUAAGGAAACGCACACCACAAAGGCACUUGAUCAUACUCAUUUGGUCCUCUUAUCUCUUAGCAGAUUGGUCUGCUAAUUUCGCUGUUGGUCUCAUCUCCAAGAAUCAAGGUAAAGAUCUCAAACCUGAUGACCCUCCGCAGGAUAAAAAGCUCAUGGCUCUAUGGGCACCAUUCUUGCUCUUGCAUCUUGGUGGGCCGGACACAAUCACAGCGUUCGCUCUUGAAGAUAACGCUCUCUGGCUUAGACAUGUCUUUGGGUUAGUCUUUCAGGCAAUCGCUGGUGCCUAUGUGGUUCUCCAGUCCCUUCCAAAUAGCCUUUGGGUGAUUAUACUCUUAGUGUUCAUUUCUGGGACUAUAAAGUAUCUGGAGAGGACAACGGCUUUGUAUAGUGCCAGUUUGGACAAGUUUAGGGACUCUAUGAUUCAAGCACCAGAUCCAGGACCAAAUUAUGCGAAGCUCAUGGAGGAGUACAAGGCCAAGAAAGAAGCAAGACUACCCACAAAGAUCAUUCUGACUGAUGAGCCUGACAAGGAACAUAGGCCUAAGAAGUUAGAGCAUCCAUCACUGGCCUCGGAGACAAAAAGAAAAGAGUUAACUCAUCUGGAGAUCGUUCAGUAUGCUUACAAAUUCUUCAACACAUUCAAGGGCCUUGUAGUCAACCUUAUCUUCAGCUUCAGGGAGCGUGACGAGAGCCUAGAAAUCUUUGAGAAUUUAGCUGAUUCAGAGGAAGCUUUGAGGAUCAUUGAGGUUGAGCUUGGUUUUCUCUAUGAUGCUCUAUUCACCAAGAUUGCGGUUCUUCAUACUGUUUUUGGAACUGUCUCACGGGUUGUUGCUUCUGGUACCCUUGUGGCUGCAUUCAUCCUCUUUUAUAAGAAAUCUAACAAAGGCAGAGACUUCCAUGGAGCUGAUGUUGUGGUUACCUAUAUUCUGUUUGCAGUUGGCCUAGUUUUGGAUUUCAUAUCCAUCCUUUUGUUUCUGUUCUCAGACUGGACAUGUGCUGCACUAAGUAGUUUGAAGGACGAUCCGGAUGAGCCACUAUCAUGGAAAGAUAGAUUUUUCAACUGGUUACUUGAAUUUAGAAAGCUGAGUUGGAAGUCGCAAGAGUGCUACAAUAAAGGUACGCAUAAGUGUUCCAAGGAAGGUGAGAAACCGUGUAUCAAGGAAGGUGAUGAUAAGUGUUCAAUGGUACAGAAGCAUCACAUGCUCACGACGCCGUUUUUCCUCCGGAGGUGGUGUGGAAGCGUCAAUGUAUUCAACUUCUAGCAUAUGCCACAAAUACAGAGCUAAAGAGGAUCCAUGAUGCCGGCGAUGAAUUCCGCUUCUUAUGGAUCAUCAUAGCUUUCCCAUUCAAAAUACUCAAUUUCAUAAUCCAGAAAGUUUUUGGAUGGAUUUCCGAGUUGAUCAAUACUGUGCACAGAUGGAUCAGCCACAUAGUUAAUGCAUUAUCAAGAAACCAUCCUUGGGCUCGUCGUACUAUUUAUCCUAUCUAUAUCCUGUUCCUAUUCCACAUCCCUGAUUUCAUCAAAUAUGUGUGGAAUGUCCUCAGCGAGUUCUUCGGCAUCUCAGAUACAUUUGAUAUGGUCCACAAGACGCUAUUUGUACACGGAGAGCCCAUGACGAAAGAAUUGUGGAAGUUCAUGUUCGAAGAGCUGAAAAACAAAUCAAAGUAUGGAGACAGUCCCGAAAAUGCCAAAAGAAUAUCAUUGGCUAGAGGAGAAUGGACUUUAAGAGAGAACCUACCAAAGGAUGCAGACCGUGAAAAACUGGUGCGAUAUGUUACAAAGGUCGAUUACGAUCAGAGUCUUUUGAUGUGGCACAUCGCAACCGAGCUCUGUUACCAACAACACGAGGAAGAGACUAUCCCAGAGGACACUGAUAAAAAACGUGAGCAUUAUAGCUACCGGGAGUUCAGCAAAAUCAUAUCAGACUACAUGAUGUAUCUCCUGAUCUUGCAACCCAGUCUGAUGUCCGAGGUUGCUGGAAUUGGGAAGAUUAGAUUCAGAGACACAUUGGCUGAAGCUGACAAGUUUUUUCAGAGGAGACGAAUAUAUAAUUUGGGCGUGAAGACAACCACCUUAGUGAAGAUAGCCACCAUAAAUAUACUGGCCGUCAAUAGUGAAAUUGAACCAAUGGACGUCAAGGGAGAUCGAAGUAAGUCUGUGUUGUUUGACGCGAGCAGGCUAGCCAAAGACCUUACAGAGAUGGAGAAGACGCACGAGAAAGACAAAUGGGAGAUACUGAGUAAAGUAUGGGUGGAACUUCUAUGUUAUGCAGCUUGUCAUUGCGACGCUACAGCUCACGUGGAACAACUAAGCAGAGGCGGUGAGCUCAUAAACUUCGUGUGGCUUCUAAUGGCUCACUUUGGACUAACAGAUCAGUUCCAGAUCAACAAAGGAGAUGCCAGAGCCAAACUCAUAAUAGGCAAGUGAGAGUGAACAAGUCCAACAAAAUUCAUUCUGCAUUUGUACUUCUUUCUACUUUUUCUCCUCAAAAACAAUGAACUCUGUCCUGCACACAGAUGAUGACAUACAUUGUUAUGCUUCUGUGAUUCUAUUAUCCCAAAUAGUUUUCAUAUUCCAACAAGGGCUGUGACAUGUAUAAGAUUUGCUCUCUAAGAAUCAUUCUAGCUGAGUCUAGAUUACACAAGUCUCCGAUUCAAAACAAGGGAAGCACGCAGACAUUCGAAUGAAUAAAAGCAUGGCAAUACUAUCGCAAAUUGAAUAACAUAGCUACAUUAGUAAUUGUUGCGGAUAAAAUGAUCAACAGAUGACAUGUAACAGAAAACGAAACAAAGAUAACACAUUUAUAAAAUUCACCUUUUAACUAUGCGAAACCACAUCGAAAGAGUAGUGUACAUGUUCGAAUCCGUACAUAUUUACAGGUAGAAGAAGAAGCUGCAAGGAAUCUUGAAAAUGGAAAAAUUUGACGGAGAGGCAGCUUCGGAGAAGGAAAGAGGGAAGAAGGGUCGAUUGAUAAGAUGAACCAACUCUAAGAAUCAAUUGAUGUAAUAAGGAGAAUGAAGAUGGGAAAUCAUUCCGCCGGCAAAGAACGAGGUGGAGACGGUGGAGCAUACAGCCAACGUUCUUUUCCGGCGGAAAACGAGGAAGAAGAAAUUGGAAUUAUUUGGAAAUUGACCUUAUUGAAACUCUCUUUACCAGUUAGAGUGUUUAACAAACACACAAAUUUUGGAGAAACACACCCAACUCUUUUUUUUUCAUUGCUUUCCAAGAUUCGAUUAAAGAUCAUUUUAAAGAAAUUCCCCCUUAAAAGUUGUAUUUGUCUGGUAUUUAAGAUUGUAUCUUUAAUCCUUUAAAAGUUGUAUUUGUUUGGUAUUUAAAAUUGUAUUACUGUAUUUUGAUCGUUAAUUAUAUGAUUUAACCUGUAAAAUAAUACAUGGCAAUUCGUUUUUAUAUAUAAUCGUAAUUUAAUUAACUUAGUUAAAUAAAUCUGAGAUUCAAAAUGGUAUAAUGAUGUUAGCAUAACAUCUUUAAUUUAAAUAGUCUAAUUUUAGAUUAAAAUAUUUUGUGAGUUUUACUAUAAAUAUAUGUAACCAUAUUUAUGUAAAUUCUUCCCAAAAUUUGACUAAAAGUAAAUCUCUCGUACAUAUUGGGUUGGAUUUGCAACUUUAUUCGAAAUAAUUUCAUUGUUUUUUUUAAUUAAAAUAUUUGUAUUCUCUGGAAAAUUUGUUGCAUAUUUCUAUGGCUGGGCACAAAUAAUACAUCUUAUUUACUGCAUUUCAUCAGAUCUACGGCUACCUAUUCCUUUCGUCUCACUUAUUGUCAACAAGGAUUACGCUUCCUCCGGAAUCUCGGACGGCUAGAGUAAACAACAGCUUUUUAAUAUUUUUUAUGAGGUAUACUGUAUUAGUAAAUAAAUAAACUGAAAAAGGUAAAACCAAAAACGAAAAACUAAAAAGAAAAGACUUGAGAGCUCUAAUAAGAAACGAAAAUGUUUCCACCAAAAAAAAAAAGAAACGAAAAUGUUGACUAAACCACAAGUACUGCAAGAAGGCUUCAAUGGCUGUCACACACAGAAAAAAAAAGUAAACACGAAAGCCAACAAGCAAAAAACAAAUAAUCCAAGCCUCUUUAGUUGUAUCUCAUCAGUUCUUGUCUGUUCCAGCAAAUCAGUUUGAAGAUGGUGAACGCAAUCCCGAAGCCUAUCAAGGACAUAUGGGACGUAUGGAGUAUCAGAAGUACCUUAAUAUUCAGUCUCAGUCUUCAAACAUUUCUCAUUUUCUUUGCACCCCAAAGAAAACGCUCAUCAAAAACGUUGUUUCUCUCUCUCAUUUGGUCAGCUUACCUUCUUGCUGAUUGGGCAGCCAAUUUCGCCGCCGGGCAAAUCUCAGAUAGUCAAGGAGACGAUCCAGAACCGGGGGAACCCAAAAAGAGCGCCGAAUUGUUAGCUUUCUGGGUUCCUUUCUUGCUGUUGCAUCUCGGUGGUCCAGAUACAAUCACUGCCCUUGCCCUUGAAGAUAACGAGUUAUGGCUCAGGCAUUUGUUGGGUCUCUUCUUUCAAGCAGUUGCAACAAUUUACGUGCUUUUGCAAUCCCUACCCAAUGCUCUUUGGAAACCCAUUUUGCUGGUGUUUUCGGCCGGAGUGAUCAAGUAUGUUGAGAGGACAUUAGCUUUGUACCUGGCCAGUCUUGACAAGUUCAAGGAUUCCAUGAUUAAGCGGCCUGAUCCUGGACCAAACUACGCGAAGCUCAUGGAGGAAUAUGCAGCCAAGAAAGAUAUGAAGGUGCCUGCACAGAUUAUCAUGAUUGAAGAGGCUGAGAAAGAUCCAAAAGCUGACGUUGACGUUAGGCCUGAGAUCCUCACUCCACUCAAUAUUCUCCAGUAUGCUUAUAAGAACUUCAAUAUUUUCAAAGGUCUUGUGGUUGAUCUCAUCUAUACAUUUCAAGAACUAGCUGAAAGCAAGAGAUUCUUUAGCUCGUUGAGAGCAGAUGAAGCUCUAAGAAUCUUGGAGGUUGAACUCAACUUUUUAUAUGAAGCUCUGUACACGAAAGCCGAGAUCUUGCAUAAUUGGAUAGGAUUUAGCUUCAGGUUCAUUGCCCUGGGGUGCCUUAUAGCAGCUCUCCGCAUCUUUCAAUACAAGAACAAGAACGACUAUGGUGGAUUUGAUGUUGGCCUUACUUACGCAUUGCUGUUAGGAGGAAUAGCUCUGGAUUGCAUCGCUCUAAUCAUGUUCUGUGCAUCUGACUGGAUGUUUGUUAGACUCAGGAAGAUGAAAGACGAGGCGGACGAUAAAGACACCAAGUUCGACGACAUUCUUAAUUGGAUUCUUGAAUGGGUUCUUGGGGUCAGGGAGUUGAAGACGGAGAAAUACUACCAAUGCUUCAAGAGUACUAAGAAAACAGCGUCUCAUGAAGUGCCCGAUAAGAGUACUGAUGAUGAACCAUUUCAUGAAGUGCUGGACACGAGUUUCAUAUACCGCAGGUGGUCCGAGUAUGUACAUGCACACAACCUGAUAGAAUAUUGCUUAUGUUUAAAACCGAAGCGAAUCCACCAUACCAAGGGCGCAAUACACCUCGCCUUAGACAGGAUAAUUAACGAAGUCCUUUUCAUUGGACCUGCCAUCAAAUAUAUAGGAAGUGGCAUAGCAACCAUAAAAGAGAGAUGUUACCAAAUACCCAAGCGGAUUGAGAGACACAUAAGUCUUUGUUACAGACGUAACAAACGUCUAAAUGAGGGGUACAUUGGGAUGUGCUUCUACUGCACAUUUUACAUUCCUUGUGUGUUUGUACAUCUGAUAAAGAGAUUUAUGGAUUUCUUUGACAUUCAAGCUCAGAUUCAAGGUAAGCUAGAUGAGGUGAUCUACACAUCCAGUGAUCGUCUCACCCUGGAUCUGUGGGAACACAUAUUCACAGAGGUUAAAAGCAAAUCCACAUUCGCUGAUGACCCUGAAAGCGCCAUAAGGAUAUCUUCAGUUCGAGGUGACUGGACUCUAGGCGACAUAAAAUGUGAAGACGAAGAAACAGAAAAAAAGCGUGAGAAACUUCUACACUAUGUGAUAGAAAUGGAUUAUGGUCAGAGCCUUCUGGUGUGGCAUAUUGCCACUGAGCUCUUAUACCAAACAUACGAAACAGAAAAAGGCACUAAUGCAAAUCAUAGCACCCGUGAGUUCAGUAAAAUCCUUUCAGACUACAUGAUUUAUCUCCUCAUUAUGCAACCCACUCUAAUGUCAGCUGUUGUGGGUAAUGGAAAGAUAAGAUUUAGAGACACGUGCGAGGAGGCUAAGAGGUUCUUUGAUAGGAGGCAUAUCUUGGGCAGGUCCAUAAAGAAGGUCACCAAUGCAAAGAGAGCCAGCUUGGCCAUUUUAUCAGUGGCGGCCCCAGCAAAAGCUGAGAUCAUUGACGUGAAAGGUGAUAGAAGCAAGUCCGUCCUGUUUGAUGCAGCCAAGCUUGCCAAAGAGCUUAAGGGUUUCAGCAAGAAGGAGGAGGACGACGCAGAGAUGUGGACAAUAGUGAGCAAAGUGUGGGUUGAGUUGCUUUCAUAUGCAGCGACCAACUGUGGCGCUAUAGAACAUGCAGCUCAACUAAGCAAAGGAGGAGAACUCAUCAGCUUUGUUUGGCUAUUGAUGACUCAUUUGGGACUAGGAGAUCAUUUCCAGAUUAACCAAAGAGAUGCUAGAGCCAAACUGAUUAUAGGCAAGUGAUCGUCAUCUAAUAAGCAACAAAAGUAGCAGCUGUUUUUUUUUUUUUUUUUACUUUUUUCUUUUGACUUCUACAUUUUUUCUGUGUUUUGUCUCUUUUGUUUUUCUAAGAGAAUUUCUUAAAUUUUUAACUGCUUUCUAUCACUGCAAUCAAGUCUCUGUUCUGCGACGAAAUUUCAAUUUUAGACCUAGAUAUUGUUGUUGAUUAAAAAAAAAAUUAGAAUCCAAAUUUACAUUUUUAGAAUAUUUUCUGUUAUUAUCAAAUAUAAUAUUUCAAAAUUAUAAGAUGUUUCAAAUAUACACUUUUAUCUAUGCAUUUUCAAAAAUACCUCUUUUAAAUUUGAAAAAUUAUAAAGUCUUAUAUGUUUUUAUAAGGUACUUCUAAAUAAUAACUAUAACAUAGAGACUCGAAUAAAACAUAUAUUAUAAGGUCUUAAAAGGGGUAUAAAAUGUUUUUAAAAGUUUUUAAGUUAUUUAUACGGUAUUUAUAAAAUAUAUGUAUAAUUUUACACACAUAUAAAUGUAAGUUGUGUAUAUUUAUAUAAGUUUACCCAUAUUUUUGGAUAAAAUUUCAAAAUUUAGUUGGUUUUUGAUGUUAUGAAAAAGGAAAUAUUUUUGGAAAAUGGUAUUUGGAAAGAAGUAUUUUUGUAAUUCUCCUUUAAAAUAGAGUGAUUUGGACAUUUUUACUUUUGUCAAAUAAAUAAAACUAUUUCUUAAAUUAAUAAACGAAAGUUUAUAAACCAUCUAUGAAAUUUAAUAAUUUAUUAUUAUAAAUUUAAUAAUUAUGCAACAGAAGUACUUUUUAAUGUUCAUUAUUAUAUUUUUGGUCAAUGGUCAGUUGGGUCAUUAUAUAAUGACUCGAUUUAAGAAAGACUAACCCGAGACUGUCUUUAAAUAAUAUAACUUAUAACUAUGGUUAAAUACUGUAUGUAUUAGAGAGAGGAUACUUCAUUUGUCCCAAUUUAUUAGAUAUUUUGGUUACAAGAGCACAUUUUAAGAAAUUUGUUUAUUUUUAAAAGUCAACUAGUUAUUUUCACCUAAAUUUUGUGUAGACACCUACAAAACGUUACAAAAAGGGUUAAUUAAAAUGAAACAAAAGUAUAUAAAGAACCAAUAGCUUACUCGUCUCUUGGCAUCCGGAAAAAAAAAAAAGAAUCGAUGAUUUACUAAAACCAUCUUCAACCAUGAAUACCUCUAAUAAGGGAUGCUUAAAUCAUAAAAUUAUAAUUAUUUUAAUAAACUUAAAUUAAAAUGCAAUUAAGAAAACAAAAUAUAACCAAUCAAUUGGUGACCUGUGAAUUAUGAAGUGUUUAUAGAGGUUCCAAAAUCUCUCUUUAAAGCACUCCUCUUUACUCUCUUUCUUCUAUUUUAAUUAUUUUUAUUUUUUCAAUAAUAUGAAAGUCAUAUAAGGCCAAUGGCAUAGUUGGGUCCAAGAAAAAAAUUUAAUCAAAAAAAAAGAAGACCAAUCGCGGGCCACCACGUGUCAGUGGGGCCCGUGAACAUAGAAAAACAGGACGCAUGACCGUCGCGUUUGUGCGUACGUCCUUCAUUUUUUAUUUUGUUUUUGAUUUAAUUUUGUGUAUAAAAUUGGUUGGGACCAAGACAAAGUACGCCAAUAAACAUGGUCUAAGUAUCUCCAAUGGGAAGUGCUCUAAGAGCAAGUUUACUGGGAGGUACUAAAGGGAUUCCUUAAAGAAAAGUGGCCAACAAUUAAAGGAAAAAUAAGAAAAAGGGCCCAGUAAAAAUAAAAGCGUUGCUUCUUGUGGCAACAUAUGCAACCUUAGAGAAACGCGAGGUGACAUUCUUUUAUUAGAAGCUCAGGCGUUGCAUUCUCUUAUUAGAAGUUUGGUAAAAUAGAAUAGAAAAAAAUAAUAAUUCCCCUUAUUUUUUUUCCAUUUAAUUUUAAGUACUUCAUGUGAGGUUCUCUACUAAUAAUGGUCUAAGUAAAUCACGUCUCCCUUAUUUCUUUAUUUUUGGGAAUUUUGUCAAAAUACCACAAUGUAAUGAGAACAUAUGCAUCAUUAUUAUUAUUAUUAUUUUGUUAAAAAUGUAAAUAUUUGAUUAAAAUAAAAUUACUAUAGCAUGUUUUGAAAGAAGUUUGGGAAAAGGGCCUCUAAAAAACAUUUGGUGUACAUAUUAUUCCUCACAAUUUUCUCUUCCACAAACUCUAAAUUUCUCAAAGAAGUCUCGAUAACCAAGAGAGAGGGAGAGAGAAAAAAGGAACCAAUUUUAAGAAGAAAAAAUCUUUUUUAUUUUUACCUAAGAAAGCACAAAUGGUGAAAGUGAUACCAAAAGACAUCAAAGAUGUGUGGGAUAGUUGAAAAAAAAAGUAGGAACAAUAAUUCUAAAACAAAUGGAGGCAUUGAUAACUGAUUGAUUUAUUCAGCAAGCUCAGGUUUUAGCUAGCUGGUAUUUUUAUUUAAUUUGAAUAGAAAAAAAAGUUUUUUUUUUUUUUUACGGUGUGCUACAGUAAUUUUUUUAAUAAACAAUUUGCAACAAUAAAUGACGAAAAUGCAAAAUUGUUACAAAAAGAAUAAAAAUAGAAAAGAAAAAGAAAAGAAGGUUUCGUUCAAGUCGUCUCUCCCGAGUGAGCUUCUCGUAAAAAAAAAGAAAAGAGAAAGAACAGCAUCAAUGGCUUCCUGAAAACAUUCCACAACUUCUCAAGUAAAUCUGUGGAAAGAAACAUCUCAAUAACCUAAAGAGAGAGAGAGAGGAAGAGAACAAAAAAAGAACCAAGAAGAGGCAAAGAGUAAUCUUUUCUUUCUUUCCUUUAUCAAGAGAGCAAAAAUGGUGGAAGUAAUACCAAAACACAUCAAAGAUGUGUGGGAUAGGUGGAACAUAAGAGGAGCAGUCAUUCUAAGUCUUGGCCUUCAAGCUAUUCUCAUUUGCUUCUCCCCUCUAAGGAAACGCACACCAAGAAGGCUCUUGAUCAUGCUCGUUUGGACCUCUUAUCUCUUAGCAGACUGGUCUGCCAAUUUCGCUGUUGGUCUCAUCUCCAAGAAUCAAGGUAAAGAUCUGAAACCUGAUGACCCUCCACAGGAUAAAAAGCUCAUGGCUUUAUGGGCACCAUUCUUGCUCUUGCAUCUUGGUGGACCAGACACAAUCACAGCUUUUGCGCUUGAAGAUAACGCUCUCUGGUUCAGACAUGUAUUUGGACUUGUCUUUCAGGCAAUUGCUGGUGUCUAUGUGGUUCUCCUGUCUCUGCCCAACAGCCUUUGGGUGAUUAUACUCUUAGUGUUCAUUUCUGGGACUAUUAAGUAUGUAGAGAGGACAGCGGCUUUGUACAGUGCCAGUUUUGACAAAUUUAGGGACUCUAUGAUUCAAGCACUAGAUCCGGGACCAAACUAUGCGAAACUCAUGGAGGAGUACAAGGCCAAGAAAGAUGCAAGACUACCCAUUAAGAUCAUUCUGAUUGAUGAGCCUGACAAAGAACAUAGCCCUCCGAAGUUAGGGCAUCCAUCAUUAGCCUUGACGAACAGAAAAGAGUUGACCCAUCUUGAGAUAGCUCAGUAUGGUUACAAGUUCUUCAACACAUUCAAAGGCCUUGUUGUCAACCUUAUCUUCAGCUUCAGGGAGCGUGACGGGAGUCUAGAGAUCUUUGAGAAUUUGAAUAGUCCGGAAGAAGCUUUGAGGAUCAUUGAGAUAGAGCUUGGUUUCCUCUAUGAUGCUCUAUUCACCAAGAUGGCGGUUCUUCAUAGCUUAGGUGGACUUGCCUCACGCAUUGUUGCUUCUGGUACCCUUGUGGCUGCAUUCAUCAACUUUCAUAAGAAACCUAAGAAAGACAUACAAUUUCAUGGAGCUGAUGUCGUGGUUACCUACACACUGUUUGCAGUUGGCAUAGCUUUGGAUUUUAUAUCCCUAGUCUUGUUUUUGUUUUCCGACUGGACGUGUGUUACACUUAGUAGCCUGAAGGAUGAUCCAGAUGAGCCUCUAACAUCGAAAGAGAGAUUUUUCUGUUGGCUACUUAGUUUCAGACAGCUGCGUUGGAAGACGCAAGAAUGCCACCAUAAAGGUUGGCAUAAGUGGACCGAAGGUGAUGAUAAGUGUUCAACAGUACAUAGGCAUGACGUGCUCACGACGCCAUUCUUCCUCCGAAGGUGGUGCGGAAGCAUUAACGUAUUCAACUUUCUAGCUUACGCCACAAAAUCAGAGGUAAAGAGGAUUCACGAUGCAAGAGGUAGUUUCCGCCGCUACUCAUGGAAGAUCAUAUCUUUCCCAUUCAAAAUUCUUAACUUAAUCAUCCAGAACGUUUUUGGAUGGAUUGUCAAGUUGAUCAAUGAAGUGCACAGAUGGAUCAGCCACAAAGUCAAUGAAUUAUCAAGAAUUUAUCCUUUGGCUCGUCGUACGAUUUACCCUCUCUAUUUUGAGUUCCUCUCCCGCAUCCCCUAUUUCAUCAAAUAUGUGUGGGAUGACCUUAGUGAGUUUUUCGACAUCUCGGAAACGCUUGAUACAGUCAACAAGGCUUUGUUUGUACACGGAGAGCCGAUGACGAAACAAUUGUGGGAGUUCAUGUUUACUGAGCUGAAAUACAAAUCAAAAUAUGGAGACAGUCCUGAGAAUGCCAAAGGGAUAUCUUUGGCUCGGGGAGAAUGGACUUUAAGAGAGAACCUGCCAGAGGAUGCAGAACGUGAAAAACUGAUUCGUUAUGUCACAAGCGUUGAUUAUGAUCAGAGUCUUUUGAUGUGGCACAUCGCAACCGAGCUCUGUUACCAACAAGAAGAAAAUACCCCAGAGGGUUAUGAUGAAAAAUAUCAUUACAGUUACCGCGAGCACAGCAAGAUCAUUUCCGACUAUGUGAUGUAUCUCCUGAUCUUGCAACCCAGUCUGAUGUCCAAAGUAGCUGGAAUUGGAAAAAUAAGAUUCAGAGACACAUUGGCUGACGCUGACAAGUUUUUCCAGAGGAGGCAUAUCGAGGACGAGAGAAGCGUAAAGAUAGCCACCGAAAAUAUACUGGACGUCAAUAGUGAAAUUGAACCUAUGGGCGUGAAAGGAUAUCGAAGCAAGUCUGUCUUGUUUGAGGCAAGCAGGCUAGCCAAAGACCUUACAGAGAUGGAGAAGACGCACAAAAUAGACAAAUGGGAGAUACUGAGUAAAGUAUGGGUGGAACUUCUCUGUUUUGCAGCUCGUCACUGUGACCCUACGGCUCACGUGGAGCAACUAAGCAGAGGCGGUGAGCUCAUAAACUUCGUGUGGCUUCUAAUGAUUCACUUUGGACUAACAGAUCAGUUCCAGAUCAACAAAGGAGAUGCCAGAGCCAAGCUCAUAAUAGGCAAGUGAGAGUGAACAAGAACAACAAAAUUCAUUCUGCAUUUGUACUUCUUUCUACUUUUUUCCUCAAAAAAACAAUGACCAACUCUGUCCUGCAUAGAGAUGAUGACAUACAUUGUUAUGCUUUUGUGAUUCUAUUAUCCCAAAUAGUUUUCAUAUUCCAACAAGGGUUGUGACAUGUAUAAGCCUGCGAAAGAAGAGUGAAGUAUCUCGAUGUAUACCUUAACGAAUGGAGAUUCUGACCAAAACUGAAGGAAUCUGUGGGAGUAUAAGCCGCAAGAAGAGAAGCUUUUGGCCGCCAUUGAAACCAACAACGCACAAAUCACUCUAAUUGAUCUUCUUCGAUACGACUGAUGAGUGACGAUACAACACACAAUCAAAUCCAGUGAAAUCAAAACCCCAAACGCACAUUGAAUCGCGCAAACGAAGCUCACUGAUACUUAGUUAGAAAAGCUUUUCUUAUAUUUCCGACUCUAAUUCUUCCAUGGAUGGAUCAAUCCUUCUCCCUUCCAUUCACUUUCAAUUUCAAUUUCAGUUUUAGUUUCAGAGUUACAUUUUUUUGGGGUAGGUUUUUCGAUUAU